CUACUUGCCAAAGGUAGAACUAAUAAUCAACCCAUGUAGGCACAUGGUUUAGGGGAUGUCCAAGGAAGUUCAUUGUGCCUAAUCUCAUACUCAACUAGGCCACCUUCCUAACCACAUCCACUCGGUGCUAGCCUUGUUUCCCAUAGAGUAUUCAAUCACAUAUGUACUUAGAGAGGGUUCCUUUUCUAGUUCAACCAACUCAUAGUACCUCUUCCCAAGAAAGGCCCCAUUUCUUAGUCAUGGCCAAUCAAGGUUCAUAAGGAUAGCUCAUUUAACUUUCUUAGAUAAGGAUUCCCAUGCUGUUCCG
rnacentral:lncRNA from 1 species